GAUGAACUGUGCAGAAAACAAAGUAUAACGAUCAGAAAGCUGCAUGGCGCGAUUAGUUUUGUCGGACCCGAACGAGUGUGACCGACGGUCGUUAGGGUUACGACUUAUAUAUAUUAUAUAUGCGUACAAGUAUUAUACAUAUAUAUAUAACGGAAAAGAUACUAGGAAUGUGUGAGAGAGGGAAAGGGAAGAAAAAUAUAGUGUACCUAUGUUAAAGAGAGAAUAAAAGAUCAGAGGUACAACUGAUCACUGUCCGACGCGAACUGGCCAACACCCGACAAGACAGCCGACCCGAUGGUACGUGUCUCACUAAGCUGCGAUUGCGACCUUGAGGUCUUGGCCAAUGUUUUCACCAGGCGACACGUUCAGCCUUGGCGCCGAGCAUCAAAAUACGUUAUUAUGGACUUGUCGGGCGAAAACAGAAGGGGUACGUGGAGGAGAGGAAGAGGCACAAAAUUUUCUAUUACAUUAUAUACUAGUGGUGAAAUUGGAAACCGAUCAAAAACGAAAGCGGUUUUCAGCAAAAUUCGCGAAAAAACUCAACACCAGUUACGAUCAUCUUAUAGGAAAUUCGGUCAGUCUUGUAACCACUACUUUUAGGACUGGCUUUUUUUAAUUCACUGAAUCAUUAAAUGCGUACAAUUUAUUAAUUAUA